AUGCCAUGACGAGGACACUUUCUUAAUAGCUCCUUGAACCUCUCCCAAGAGUCAUAUAAGGAUUCUCCAUCAUUCUGAAGGAAAUUGUUUAUCUCGCCCCUUAAUCU